UACGUAGGGGGCUAGCGUUGUCCGGAAUCAUUGGGCGUAAAGAGCGUGUAGGCGGCCCGGUAAGUCCGCUGUGAAAGUCGGGGGCUCAACCCUCGGAUGCCGGUGGAUACUGUCGGGCUCGAGUAGGGAAGAGGCGAGUGGAAUUCCUGGUGUAGCGGUGAAAUGCGCAGAUAUCAGGAGGAACACCUAUUGCGAAGGCAGCUCGCUGGGACGUUACUGACGCUGAGACGCGAAAGCGUGGGGAGCAAACAGG
rnacentral:rRNA from 1 species